CGAACCACAAGAAAAUCAUAUUUUAAUGCCUCAAUAAAUCAAGUAUUUAUAUGACCAUGGUUAUAUAUACCGAAAGCCGGUAUACUUUCUAUUUCUAGAUUCUGUAGUGGUACGUGCAUACUAUAAACUACACCCACAUGCUCACCGAGAUAUUUGUCUGUAAUAAAUUUUUAUACGACCAUGGUUAUAUAUACCGAAAACCGGUAUAUACUUUCUGUUUCUAGAUUCUAGAUUCUGUAGUGGUACGCGCAUACUAUAAACUACACCCACAUGCUCACCGAGAUAUUUGUCUGUAAUAAAUUUUUAUACGACCAUGGUUAUAUAUACCGAAAACCGGUAUACUUUCUAUUUCUAGAUUCUAGAUUCUGUAGUGGUACGCGCAUACUAUAAACUACACCCACAUGCUCACCGAGAUAUUUGUCUGUAAUAAAUUUUUAUACGACCAUGGUUAUAUAUACCGAAAACCGGUAUACUUUCUAUUUCUAGAUUCUAGAUUCUGUAGUGGUACGUGCAUACUAUAAACUACACCCACAUGCUCACCGAGAUAUUUGUCUGUAAUAAAUUUUUAUACGACCAUGGUUAUAUAUACCGAAAACCGGUAUACUUUCUAUUUCUAGAUUCCAGAUUCUGUAGUGGUACGUGCAUACUAUAAACUACACCCACAUGCUCACCGAGAUAUUUGUCUGUAAUAAUUUUUUAUACGACCAUGGUUAUAUAUACCGAAAACCGGUAUACUUUCUAUUUCUAGAUUCUGUAGUGGUACGUGCAUACUAUAAACUACACCCACAUGCUCACCGAGAUAUUUGUCUGUAAUAAUUUUUUAUACGACCAUGGUUAUAUAUACCGAAAACCGGUAUACUUUCUAUUUCUAGAUUCUGUAGUGGUACGUGCAUACUAUAAACUACACCCACAUGCUCACCGAUUCCAUACAAAUGGAAACUAUAGCCUCAUGCUCAUCUAGAUAUUUGUCUCUAAUCAAGCAUUUAUAUGACCAUGGUUAUAUAUACCGAAAACCGGUAUACUAUAUAUUUAUAUUUGUGAGUGUGGGCGGAAAGAUCUAGU